UACGUAGGGACCGAGCGUUGUCCGGAAUCAUUGGGCGUAAAGAGCGUGUAGGCGGCCAACUAAGUCCUGCGUGAAAUCUCGGGGCUCAACCCCGAGCGGUCGUGGGAAACUGGUUGGCUAGAGUGCGGGAGAGGAGAGUGGAAUUCCUGGUGUAGCGGUGAAAUGCGCAGAUAUCAGGAAGAACACCCGUGGCGAAGGCGGCUCUCUGGAACGCAACUGACGCUGAGACGCGAAGCGUGGGGAGCAAACAGG
rnacentral:rRNA from 1 species